rfam:Cavia porcellus supercont2_25 genomic scaffold, whole genome shotgun sequence.
UCUACCUUGGAUAACCCGGGAAGUCACUCUCCCUGGGCUCUGGGAGAGUGGCAUAGGGGAGCAUAAGGCUCUUGCCCCAUAAUGUACAGUCCCUUUCCACAACGUUGGAGAAGAAGCUGGGCCUUGUGUCUGCACCUGCAUAUUCCUACAACUUCUCAGAGUCCUUUGGGCAGUGACUGAGGAGAUACACCAUGCAGGAAACAAUG